rnacentral:sRNA from 1 species
AAGCGAAGACUUGGCCUGCCACACCCUAAGUACCACCACCCACCACCGGAGGCGACCGCCAGCCCCCGUUGCCAUCAGCCAUCUCCAGGGCUGAGGAACUGAGCCCAUGUACCUGUCACAAAACAAACAAGCAAAAAACAGAUAAAUCCCUCAGAGACAGGCUAGCCUUGACAUGGACCCCGAUUCUCACCUGGACUCCAAAAGCUAUCUUGACCUAGUGGCAUCUCUGACCCAAACCUUAAUUGCCCCCAUCGCCCUCUACAUCCCCCCAGCACUGACCCUCACCAGGACUCCAGCCCCAAUUCCAUCCCAAAUCUGUGUAGCAUCUGCUUCUGCCGAUUCUAAGAGCCCUAGCACCUGCCAAGUCCCCCCAUUACCCACCUUCCCACACUCAGAAGCCUCUUUGGUGGGAUGCUAAUGGGAAGGAGUCUUGCCUCUCUGGAGGCAGGAGGGGCUGGCCUUGUGCCCCUCCGGGCCUCUGAGAGGUGGGCGCAGGAGAACAGCACUCACGAGGGGACCUCCUUCACCCUGGGAAAGGGUGGUUUCUUUGCUAUUUCACAGUCACAGGCUGAAUCCUUCACUUGGCCCUGCCCACCGUACAGGUAUGCUCACUGCCGGCUUUAGGGAGGCCAGAAACCAACCUGCUCCUGCAAAAAGAAUCCAGGCUUGUUCUGAGUGCCUGCUGCAGGCCAGGCAAGUUGGUCACUGUUGCAUGAGGGGGCAGUGCCUCUCACUCUUGGGCCUGACGCCAAGGGAGGUAGCCUGUCCCGGUCGCAUGCAGACAUCCUGGCCAUCCCAGCCACACAUGCACGUGAGAGGCUGGGUGCUGGCAGGGUUCCUGAGGGACUGGAAGAUGUGGCCCCCUGCCUGCCUCCUUCCUCUUGUGAAUAUAAGGGGCCAGUUCCCAGCCCAAAGCCCCACCCGGGGCCCUCAUGUUUCAUCACCAACAGGCCUACUGUCUGGCUCCUUUUGACCUCAUCAAAGUCCGGCUACAAAACCAGACAGAGCCAAGGGCCCAGCCAGGGAGCCCCCCACCCCGGUACCAGGGGCCCGUGCACUGUGCAGCCUCCAUCUUCCGGGAGGAGGGGCCCCGGGGGCUGUUCCGAGGAGCCUGGGCCCUGACGCUGAGGGACACCCCCACGGUGGGGAUCUACUUCAUCACCUAUGAAGGGCUCUGUCGCCAGUACACACCAGAAGGCCAGAAUCCCAGCUCAGCCACGGUGCUGGUGGCAGGAGGCUUUGCAGGCAUUGCUUCCUGGGUGGCAGCCACGCCCUUAGACGUGAUCAAGUCCCGGAUGCAGAUGGAUGGACUGAGACGCAGAGUGUACCAGGGGAUGCUGGACUGCAUGUAGAGACAGGGUUUCACCAUGUCAGCCAGGAUGGUCUUGAUCUCCUGACUUUGUGAUCCGCCCGCGUCGGCCUCUCAAAGUGCUGGGAUUACAGGCGUGAGCCACCGCGCCCGGCCGCCUUCACCUCUUAAGGAGCUCUGAGACUCCGCUUCUGAGAGUCCCUGCGGCCUCCCACCUGCCUGCCUUUCAAAGCUCUCUCCCCCAUGACCCAGGAUAACCCUAUGUCUCCUCCCCCAGAAUCCUUCAGUGGCUCUCAUCACCUUCAGGAAAAGCCCAAACUCCUUCCACCCUCCAGGUUCCUCCCUCCCCACGAGGCUUUGUUCUCCUGGGGUUGCUUCCUGGACCCUGAACAAGUUGUGCUCUCAUUGGCCGGGCCUGGCCAGCAGUGCACAGUGCCUGGCAGGUUGACUCUACCAUCCCCGGGCUGGCCCCGCUCUCCUCCGAGACCCAGGCUGAGCCCAGUCUCCUCACCCUUCCUUGACUUACCUCCCCACCUGAGGCUGACUUUGGGGUUCCCAGACACCCUACCCACACACAUGCCUUGAUCAUAGCACUUGCCUGCGCUUCUUCAGAGUCAUUAAUUUGCUUCUCGGCUUCCCCACUGGACUGUGAGCUGCCUGAGGUCAGGGAUUGCGCUUUGGAUGGUUUCCAGCCUGAGCCUGGUGCUUGAACAGACGUGUGCAAUAAAUGCUCGUUAAAUGAUG